rnacentral:lncRNA from 1 species
GAGUGACUCUAAGGACUUCCCACAUUUCCUGUGCUGUCUUACACACUGAAAUUCUAUAAAACUCAUCAAGUACAACAACAGAUGAAAUUAUAUUGCGAGCUUUAAUAUCAAACUGAGCUCGUCUAUUUUCUUCAGCAGUCCAAUUAAAAUAUGGUUUUUCUAUCUCUACACCAUCAACUGUUCUCAUAGGGAUAUAAGGACCAUUUUGUACAGCUUCCCAGAUGCCUCUAUCAACAGACC